AUUGAACGCUGGCGGCAGGCCUAACACAUGCAAGUCGAACGAGCGGCGGCCGGGUGCGUAAUGUCUGGGAAACUGCCUGAUGGAGGGGGAUAACUACUGGAAACGGUAGCUAAUACCGCAUACCAUCAGAUGUACCCAGAUGGGAUGAGCUAGUAGGUGGGGUAACGGCUCACCAAGGCGACGAUCCCGAGCUGGUCUGAGAGGAGGACAAGCCACACUGGGACUGAGACAAGGUCCAGACUACUACGGGAGGCAGCAGUGGGGAAGAGUGCACAAUGGGCGCAAGCAUGAUGCAGCCAUGCCGAGUGUAUGAAGAAGGCCUUCGGGUUGUAAAGUACUUUCAGCAGGGAGGCGUUACCCGCAGAAGAAGCACCGGCUAACUCCGUGCCAGCAGCCGCGGUAAUAC
rnacentral:rRNA from 1 species